rnacentral:rRNA from 1 species
AUUGAACGCUGGCGGCAGGCCUAACACAUGCAAGUCGAGCGGCAGCGGAAAGUAGCUUGCUACUUUGCCGGCGAGCGGCGGACGGGUGAGUACUGUCUGGGAAACUGCCUGAUGGAGGGGGAUAACUACUGGAAACGGUAGCUAAUACCGCAUAACGUCGCGAGACCAAAGAGGGGGACCCUCGGGCCUCUUGCCAUCAGAUGUGCCCAGAUGGGACUAGGUAGGAGGUGGGGUAACGGCUCACCUAGGCGACGAUCCCUAGCUGGUCUGAGAGGAUGACCAGCCACACUGGAACUGAGACACGGUCCAGACUCCUACGGGAGGCAGCAGUGGGGAAUAUUGCACAAUGGGCGCAAGCCUGAUGCAGCCAUGCCGCGUGUAUGAAGAAGGCCUUCGGGUUGUAAAGUACUUUCAGCGGGGAGGAGGGUGUUGAGGUUAAUAACCUCAGCAAUUGACGUUACCCGCAGAAGAAGCACCGGCUAACUCCGUGCCAGCCGCCGCCGUAAAAC